AAACCAUGAUGUGAACAUCUCCUUAGAAGUUCUCUAAAGUGCUUCCAUGUUUCAAAUAGAGAUUCAAACUCAUAUUGUUGAAAAUUAGAGAUCUCUAUCAUCAGCUU